ACUCCUGAUGUCUGAUUUGUCUGCAAAUCUCCUUUUCCGUAGAGAUUGUGCAGUUUGGCCGAUGUACAUAGCAGAGGGGCAUUGCUGGCAUAUGAUGGCAUAUAUACAUUGGUGGACGUGCAGGUGA